rnacentral:rRNA from 1 species
AACGUAGGAGGCAAGCGUUAUCCGAAUUCACUGGGCGUAAAGGGUGUGCAGGCGGUCGGCUAAGUUGGGUGUGAAAUCUCCCGGCUCAACUGGGAGGGGACGCUCAAGACUGGCCGGCUGGAGGGCGGUAGAGGGAGGUGGAAUUCCCGGUGUAGUAGUGAAAUGCGUAGAGAUCGGGAGGAACACCAGUGGCGCAAGCGGCCUCCUGGACCGUACCUGACGCUGAGACACGAAAGCUAGGGGAGCGAACGGGAUUAGAUACCCCCGUAGUCC